AUGGCGUCGGCGGGGCCUUCCCCUGCCAAGUGCAGCGGCUCCUUGGCUGGAUCACCGUCGCACACCUCGCCGGCGUGGUCGGCAAGAUCUGCAUCUCGAUCCUCACCACUCUCCAUCCUCUUGCAGGUGGCAAGUAUGCAUUCAGAUGUUGCAGCUCUAAGGAAGGGUAGUAUAUGGCACAUGGCUUCGUGGGUUGUUCGACAAGAAGUGUUUUGGGCAUAUUCGAAAGGCAAUCUUGUCAAAAUUGUACAUCGAUUUUCUUAUUCCACCAUCAUGACACAUGCAUCUGUAACUUACCCAUUGGAUGUUGUUCGAAAUCACCUGACAACACAGAAAACCACUAGGUAUUACAAGGGCAUCUUUCACAUGUUGUCUACAAUUUGUAGAGAAGAGAGUGGUAGAGGAUUGUAUAAAGGCCUUUGGUCCACCUUAUUGGGAGUUGGACCUGAUAUAUCAAUCAACGUUUAUGUAUAUGAAUCACUGAGGUCUCAUUGGCAAAUGGAAAAUUUGAGCCUUGGCUCCGGUUUUGAUAGCUCUAUAUCAGUGAGUUUAGUACAGUAA
rnacentral:rRNA from 1 species